UCGGAGUCUGCAACCCGACUCCGUGAAGCUGGAUUCGCUAGUAAUCGCGCAUCAGCCAUGGCGCGGUGAAUACGUUCCCGGGCCUUGUACACACCGCCCGUCAAGCCAUGGAAGCCGGGAGUGCCUGAAGUAUGCAACCGCAAGGAGCGUCCUAAGGUAAAACCGGUGACUGGGGCUAAGUCGUAACAAGGUAUC
rnacentral:rRNA from 1 species